UCCGAAUUGGUGUAGGGGUCAACAUUGCCGCUUCUCAUGAAAGUUUGCUUAUGUAAACUCGCUUCGGUCGCGGCAGCCCGGGGUUCGAUUCCCCGAUUCGGAA